UGGGGAAUAUUGCACAAUGGGCGCAAGCCUGAUGCAGCCAUGCCGCGUGUGUGAAGAAGGCCUUCGGGUUGUAAAGCACUUUCAGCGGGGAGGAAGGCGAUAAGGUUAAUAUCCUUGUCGAUUGACGUUACCCGCAGAAGAAGCACCGGCUAACUCCGUGCCAGCAGCCGCGGUAAUACGGAGGGUGCAAGCGUUAAUCGGAAUUACUGGGCGUAAAGCGCACGCAGGCGGUCUGUCAAGUCGGAUGUGAAAUCCCCGGGCUCAACCUGGGAACUGCAUUCGAAACUGGCAGGCUAGAGUCUUGUAGAGGGGGGUAGAAUUCCAGGUGUAGCGGUGAAAUGCGUAGAGAUCUGGAGGAAUACCGGUGGCGAAGGCGGCCCCCUGGACAAAGACUGACGCUCAGGUGCGAAAGCGUGGGGAGCAAACAGG
rnacentral:rRNA from 1 species